rnacentral:rRNA from 1 species
GGAGUAUGGACCGUGUCUCAGUUCCAUUGUGGCCGUUCAUCCUCUCAGACCGGCUACCGAUCGUCGGCUUGGUAGGCCUUUACCCCACCAACUACCUAAUCGGACGCAGGCUCCUCGCAAAGCGAUAAAUCUUUAGUGUAAAUUUCAUGCGAAUCCUACACAACAUUCGGUAUUAGCGUCCCUUUCGGAACGUUGUCCCCAUCUUUGCGGCAGAUUACCUGCGCUUUACUCACCCGUUCGCCACUAGCACCGAAGUGCCCGUUCGACUUGCAUGUGUUAAGCACGCCGCCAGCGUUCGUCCUCGAGCCAUGAUCAAACUACU